rnacentral:rRNA from 1 species
AGAGUUUGAUCCUGGCUCAGGACGAACGCUGGCGGCGUGCCUAAUACAUGCAAGUCGAGCGCAGGAAGCAAGUUGAUCCCCUUCGGGGGUGACGCUUGUGGAAUGAGCGGCGGACGGGUGAGUAACACGUGGGCAACCUGCCUGUAAGACUGGGAUAACCCCGGGAAACCGGGGCUAAUACCGGAUAAUACUUUCUUUUGCAUAAAGGAAAGUUGAAAGGCGGCUUCGGCUGUCACUUACAGAUGGGCCCGCGGCGCAUUAGCUAGUUGGUGAGGUAACGGCUCACCAAGGCGACGAUGCGUAGCCGGCCUGAGAGGGUGAUCGGCCACACUGGGACUGAGACACGGCCCAGACUCCUACGGGAGGCAGCAGUAGGGAAUCUUCCGCAAUGGACGAAAGUCUGACGGAGCAACGCCGCGUGAGUGAUGAAGGUUUUCGGAUCGUAAAACUCUGUUGUUAGGGAAGAACAAGUACGAUAGUAACUGAUCGUACCUUGACGGUACCUAACCAGAAAGCCACGGCUAACUACGUGCCAGCAGCCGCGGUAAUACGUAGGUGGCAAGCGUUGUCCGGAAUUAUUGGGCGUAAAGCGCUCGCAGGCGGUCCUUUAAGUCUGAUGUGAAAUCUCGCGGCUCAACCGCGAACGGUCAUUGGAAACUGGAGGACUUGAGUACAGAAGAGGAGAGUGGAAUUCCACGUGUAGCGGUGAAAUGCGUAGAGAUGUGGAGGAACACCAGUGGCGAAGGCGACUCUCUGGUCUGUAACUGACGCUGAGGAGCGAAAGCGUGGGGAGCGAACAGGAUUAGAUACCCUGGUAGUCCACGCCGUAAACGAUGAGUGCUAGUGUUUAAGGGGGUUUCCGCCCCUUAGUGCUGAAGUUAACGCAUUAAGCACUCCGCCUGGGGAGUACGGCCGCAAGGCUGAAACUCAAAAGAAUUGACGGGGGCCCGCACAAGCGGUGGAGCAUGUGGUUUAAUUCGAAGCACGCGAGAACUUACCAGGUCUUGACAUCCUCUGCUAUUCCUAGAGAUAGGAGUUCCCUUCGGGGACAGAGUGACAG